GUUUUGAUUUAAGGUCUGACCUGCCCAAUGAUUGUAUUAAAUGGCUGCAGUAUUUUGACUGUACAAAGGUAGCAUAAUCAUUAGUUUCUUAAUUAGGAGCUGGAAUGAAUGGUUUGAUGAGAAAUUAACUGUCUCAGGUUUAUUUAUUUAGAAUUUUAUUUUUAAGUGAAAAAGCUUAAAUUUUAUAUAAAGACGAGAAGACCCUAUAGAGUUUUAUAUAUUUAUGGUUAUUGAUUUUAUGUUUUUAAUAUUUUUAAUUUUUUAAUGUAUUUUGUUGGGGUGAUGGGAAAAUUUUUUUAACUUUUCUUUAUUUAAACACUAAUUGGUGGUUUCAUGAUCCUUUUUUAGAUUAUAAGAUUAAAUUACCUUAGGGAUAACAGCGUAAUUUUUUUUGAAAGUUCUUAUUGAUAAAAAAGUUUGCGACCUCGAUGUUGGAUUAAAGUUUAUUUUUGGUGUAGAAGCUAGAAGUUUAGGUCUGUUCGACCUUUAAAACUUUACGUGAUCUGAGUCAGACCGG
rnacentral:rRNA from 1 species